GACAGUAUGGUGUAAUGGUUAGCACUCUGGACUAUGAAUCCAGCAAUCAGAGUUCAAAAUCUCUGUAGAACCU